GCCGGGUGUAGUGGCACAUGCCUGUAAUCCCAAUGACUCGGGAGGCUGAGGCAGGAGGAUUGUACAUUCAACGCCAGUCUCAGCAACUUAGUAAGACCCUGCCUCAA
rnacentral:sRNA from 1 species